UGGAAAUACCAGAGUCUGAGCUCUUCUGCC
rnacentral:piRNA from 1 species